UUAACGUAGCACGAACCAACCGAAAGGAGUGCAUUCGAAGACGACGCGCUGGCUGUAAUGCUGAACCAGACUGAACUCGCCCUAUUUUGUGUCCUUUUGUUUUUGCGUGUGCGCGCGGGUGUGUCAGUGACUAUGCAGUUUGUAGCGUUCCCACUUUAUAGCAAAACAAAAAUAUAACUGCAAUGUUUACUUCAUCUAUACAAUUCCAAAUUAAAUCGUCUGUUGAUGUACAAAUUUCACUUGUGUUCUAAAUAAGCAGCAAAACCUUUAACCUAGUAGGUGCUUCAUCUGGGAGUGAAAUCACGACAGCUUGGCAUUUAUUAAUGAAUGACUGUGACUGGGUCACCUUAUUUGUAAUUGCAAAUCUGCCUUUCAACUGACUUGAUGCUAUCUUAUUUUGUUCCUUUCACUCUAUAGACGGCUGGACAUCCUUCUUGUACCUUGGCACUAGCUGGAUGACGGGACCUCAUCAUGAUCAGUGUAUUGCUUGCCUAUGUCCACAAGAACCGUCACGCGUGGCCUGUGAUAGCAAGCUUUUGUGGGCAGCAAGUGCUCUCCUACGAAGGCUGGCCUACUCUGGCAGCGCGGCAAUCAUCUUCAAGAUUUGUCCAUAAUCACCUUUGCUGCUAUUUGUCACUCUUGUUGAUUACACUUUCUGCGUCUUUUCUAAUUUAUUAGGUAAUAAAGUAUGAGUAUGUGA